CCCUUCAGUUCAGAGAGGGUUUGGGCAGCGUUCUGCCAACUCGGUCGAGGCAGGAUUCUUGGGAGAACAAGUAAGGGGUCGUUGAAAGAUUAUGUAACAGUAUUUAUUGUAUUUUGUGUGAAAAAUUCUAAGCUUUCCCAUACAAGUUACGUAAUAUUUGAAAAACCUCAUCAACACUGAUAUUCUAAAGAGCUGGAAUGAUGGGUUGAGCUUGUAGUGAUCCCUUGAAGAUGGGAUGCAAAUCAUUAACUCGCGAUCGCGCAUCUUUGGUACUUCAGGAAAGCAGUACACUACAUAAACGAAUGGAUUUUAAAACACAUCCGAUACAUUACAAAAAUUUAAUGAUUUGCUAUCCAUGUCCGUGGAACCAUUCUGAAUAGCCACUUAGGAAAUACACUGGAUUUUAUUUCUUUUUAUUUAUGACUAUUCUCAUUAUUAUUAUAACUUUUGCCUUUCGCGAAACGCCCUCCCCCUGGAUAUUCGAUCUUGACGCGAUGGGAGGGCUUAACCCAUUAGCAUUUUAGCGCCAGUUCUUUCACCACCGCUUGGACUUUGAGCUAGAUAUAUCUAGUUUACGAGUUGAGCGCAAGUGAAGGAAUCGCCGUAAGUGCUAAUGGGAACCAAAGGAGUAUCCGUCGUGCAUUUAUCACAAAUCAAAAACAAAUUAUAAUUCAGCUUGCAUAGACCUAAUCUUUGCAUUCUUUGAAUUUUCUCAAAUUUAACAAUAACUGUUAAAUUUAACGUAACGCAAGAGUGGGUAGAGGAGGUCUCUGCGUUACACUCAUCAUUCGUUACUUGAAUUCGUUAGUACACAGGACAGGGGACGCUAGGAUAAGUUGACUUACAGCCUUACAGAUUAGAUUCAUUACAAUUAGAAGAUUAUGGACUGAUUAGGUUAAGAUAAAACUGUUGAUUAUAGGAGUUUGUAUUUGUAUUUCUUAUUUUUAUGGGUUUUGUGAAUUUAUAAAAGUUGACAAAUAAUCAUUAUCAUUUUCAUUUUUGACAAAAAUCAGUUGACUGAACUUUUUUUGUUUUAUAUCUUAGACGGUAUUAUUUCACUGAUCAAAAAAAGCAGGAAUUUAGUUAGGACUUAGGACGGUUGACAUUGUAAAGGGUUACGAUGGAUAUAAUAUUACUUUGGACUGAGAUGAUCACAGAUAUGCAGAAGACGACUAGCGAAAUUAGAAACACAAUUUGUUACAUUAUUGACUAUAUUUUGACAAAUAGGGUUUAACAAAUUUCUUUACAAUAUCGAAUGGAAGCUCAAAAAGUGUUAUCUAACACUAAUAUGAGAGUUAUUUGGAGAUGAUGCUGGUGCUGUCAAUGACUAACAUCGGUUAUUGACACUAUUGGUAAUCAGCUUGAAAUAAUUUUCAGAAUGUAUUAUAAAAUAACUGAGGAUAUUAUCUGAUUAUUGU